rnacentral:rRNA from 1 species
GACGAACGCUGGCGGCAGGCCUAACACAUGCAAGUCGAGCGAGCGGCGGACGGGUGAGUAAUGUCUGGGAAACUGCCUGAUGGAGGGGGAUAACUACUGGAAACGGUAGCCAAUACCGCAUACCAUCAGAUGUGCCCAGAUGGGACUAGCUAGUAGGUGGGGUAACGGCUCACCUAAGCGACGGUCCCUAGCUGGUCUGAGAGGAUGACCAGCCACACUGGAACUGGAGCACGGUCCGGACUCCUACGGGAGGCAGCAGUGGGGAAUAUUGCACAAUGGGCGCAAGCCUGAUGCAGCCAUGCCGCGUGUGUGGAGAAGGCCUUCGAGUUGUAAAGCACUUUCAGCGGGGGGGCGUUACCCGCAGAAGAAGCACCGGCUAACUCCGUGCCAGCAGCCGCGGUAAUAC